UCCUUUCCUCCUUCGCCCGCCGCCGGGCGAGGCUGCUGCGCACGGGGCCUCCCAGCUAUCCGGCAUGGCAGUGCCCCCACGUGCAGGGAGUAGCUGGGUACGUGACCCUCGGACAUGGGGUGCGGGGCAAAGGGAAGAUGGUGAAAAUGUGAAAAGGGCAAGAAAAACAAGCAUGCAAAAGCAGAAACUUCCUUCUUCCUCUGAGAGGGUAUUAUAACUGGUCUGCAGCUUAUGCAUCCAUAAGGGGAACAAUGUAAACCAAGAGUCUCAGCGGAGCAAAGAGCUUUCUGCAAAAUGAAGACUUGACAGUUACAGAUAAAAGCCUUCUCAGUUGGACUGAUCAUUGCAGAAGUGAGGCUAGUGGGGCCAGCAGUAGUUGCCUGAAAAGAAGAGAGGAACUGUUGCUGUUGCUUUAAAGAGUGACUGCCAAGAUAUUUAGAGAGGUGGGAGUGAGCAUGUGAGUAGUCCCAUGCCUUGAAUGGGACUAUUCCUGUGCAGAAGUGUUUGCAGGGUGGGAGCCUAGUAAGAUAAAACAUGAAAGGCGGGGAGAAGGAUGACAUCGAUUGUUGGUUUCCUUUCACCCUUUUAUUAAAAUUGUAUUUAAAAAUAAA